UUUCCGUAGGUGAACCUGCGGAAGGAUCAUUAAAACUUAAAACUCUACCUUGGAUUUACCGAUCCCGGGAUCAGUCUCAUCCCUUUGUGAACUAAAAAACCCAUUCGCGUCGGCGGCCUCCCCCUACCGGGGUCGUAAGCCUGCCGGCAACACACUUAAAACCUGUCAUUUUAAAUUUAGACUGAACCAUACUAAUUCUGAAUGAAAAUUAAAACUUUCAACAACGGAUCUCUUGGUUCUC
rnacentral:misc_RNA from 1 species